UACGAAGGGGGCUAGCGUUGCUCGGAAUCACUGGGCGUAAAGGGUGCGUAGGCGGGUCUUUAAGUCAGGGGUGAAAUCCUGGAGCUCAACUCCAGAACUGCCUUUGAUACUGGGCGACUAGAGGACCGGAGAGGAUAGUGGAAUUCCCAGUGUAGUGGUGAAAUACGUAGAGAUUGGGAAGAACACCAGUGGCGAAGGCGGCUAUCUGGACGGUUUCUGACGCUAAGACGCGAAAGCGUGGGGAGCAAACAGG
rnacentral:rRNA from 1 species